rnacentral:rRNA from 1 species
CAUGCAAGUCGAACGAACUCUUCGGAGUUAGUGGCGGACGGGUGAGUAACACGUGGGAACGUGCCUUUAGGUUCGGAAUAACUCAGGGAAACUUGUGCUAAUACCGAAUGUGCCCUUCGGGGGAAAGAUUUAUCGCCUUUAGAGCGGCCCGCGUCUGAUUAGCUAGUUGGUGAGGUAAAGGCUCACCAAGGCGACGAUCAGUAGCUGGUCUGAGAGGAUGAUCAGCCACAUUGGGACUGAGACACGGCCCAAACUCCUACGGGAGGCAGCAGUGGGGAAUCUUGCGCAAUGGGCGAAAGCCUGACGCAGCCAUGCCGCGUGAAUGAUGAAGGUCUUAGGAUUGUAAAAUUCUUUCACCGGGGACGAUAAUGACGGUACCCGGAGAAGAAGCCCCGGCUAACUUCGUGCCAGCAGCCGCGGUAAUACGAAGGGGGCUAGCGUUGCUCGGAAUUACUGGGCGUAAAGGGAGCGUAUGCGGACAUUUAAGUCAGGGUGAAAUCCCGGGGCUCAAACUCGGAAUUGCCUUUGAUACUGGGUGUCAUGAGUAUGAUAGAAGUGUGUGGAACUCCGAGUGUAGAGGUGAAAUUCGUAGAUAUUCGGAAGAACCCCAGUGGCGAAGGCGACACACUGGCUCAUUACUGACGCUGAAGCUCGAAAGCGUGGGGAGCAAACAGGAUUAGAUACCCUGGUAGUCCACGCCGUAAACGAUGAUUGCUAGUUGUCGGGAGGCAUGCAUUCCGGUGACCCAGCUAACGCAUUAAGCAUCCCGCCUGGGGAGUACUGUCCCAAGAUUAAAACUCAAAGGAAUUGACGGGGUCCCGCUCAUGCGGUGGAGCAUGCGGUUUAAUUCCAAGCAACGCGUAUAACCUUACUACCUUUUGAUAUGUCUGGACCGCC